UACAUGUGGGGCAAGCGUUGUUCGGAAUUACUGGGCAUAAAGGGUGCGUAGGCGGCAUGUUAAGUCAUUGGUGAAAGUUUUCGGCCCAACCGGAAAAUUGCCUGUGAUACUGGCGUGCUGGAGUGCGUGAGGGGUGGGGGGAACGAGCAGUGUAGCGGUGAAAUGCGUAGAUAUCUGGAAGAACACCAAAGGCGAAGGCAGUGUCCUGGGUGGUCGCUGACGCUGAGAGGCGAAAGCCAGGGGAGCGAACGGG
rnacentral:rRNA from 1 species